rnacentral:lncRNA from 1 species
GGCCAACUUUUGUGUGGAUCACUAUUGGAGGGCUUCUACUUUAGAGUCUCAUGGAGAUCACCAUCAUGUCAUAUUGCUUUUUGAUGAAAGUAUAAAAUUUUAUCUCUUUGCAUGCUUGUUUUAUUUUUAUUUUGAUCGACAUCGACAAGGUGAUUCUAGGGUUUGGAUUUCGAUUCGAUAGUUUUAAUUGUUAAAGCUAUUGAU